ensembl:lncRNA
ACGCCUUACUAUACUAUGUCGAAAAAAAAGGCGAUUUUUCAAACAUGUUGUAAAAACAUGCCAUAUGAUGAAAUAAUGUAAAGGAGGCCGUGAAAAACACUCCAGAAAGGUUUUCUGUGAAAAAAAAAAUCAUCAUGAAUUUUGGCGCAAAAAAAAACGCCUUACUAUACUAUGUCGAAAAAAAAGGCGAUUUUUCAAACAUGUUGUAAAAACGUGCCAUAUGAUGAAAUAAUGUAAAGGAGGGCGUGAAAAACACUCCAGAAAGGUUUUCUUUGGAAAAAAAAAUCAUCAUGAAUUUUGGCGCAAAAAAAACGCCUUACUAUACUAUGUCGAAAAAAAAGGCGAUUUUUCAAACAUGUUGUAAAAACGUGCCAUAUGAUGAAAUAAUGUAAAGGAGGGCGUGAAAAACACUCCAGAAAGGUUUUCUUUGAAAAAAAAAUCAUCAUGAAUUUUGGCGCAAAAAAAACGCCUUACUAUACUAUGUUGAAAAAAAAGGCGAUUUUUCAAACAUGUUGUAAAAACAUGCCAUAUGAU